rnacentral:lncRNA from 1 species
UGUGACAAUUUGAAUGAGCUGACAAUGAUUUUUUUUAGCUUGGUCCGAAUUGCUCAUGAUUUUGUAGUUUAUGUUGAAAAAUGGAUUGCUGCUUAUUGAGAACUGGUGUUUGGAUAUGUUUGUGCAAAUGAUAAUGGACAUGGCUUUUGGUGUUAUUGCUUUACUACCAUGGAAUACUAGGUCUUAUGAGUUGCUCAUGAUGUUAUGACAGUUGUGUCACUGUUGUUGUUUGCAACUAGAAUUGAUUCUCUGUUAGUUUUUCUAUUAUGGAAAUUGUUUGAUUGUUGACUGUCAUGAACUGAUGUGUUGUGAAAUUUUGAUGGAUGACUUGCUGCUAUGAGUUAGUUAGUGAUGUUAGGCUCAGUUGAUGUACUGAAACUUGUUGCUUGAUGGACUGUUUUGGCUUUGUUGUGAAUUGUUGAACAUGUCUUCUCUUUUUCAUGAUUGUAAGUGACGAUGGCUUGCUAAUGGACUGUUUUGUGAUGAUAAUUUGUAGGUCCAAAAUGAGCUUAAAGCGGCAUGGCCAAAUGGAAGUAUAUGGAUAAUGGAGACAUUAAGGUAAAGGCUACCAAGUUCCAAGUAAGAUGCUCCUUUUCAUUUUUGUUUCAAGCCAUGUAUUACGAUGCUUAUGUUAGUCAUUAGGGUGUAACAUGGUGCCAUAGUAUUAGGAUUAGCUCAUGUAAAAUGCUUGUAAUGAAAUAUGCUCAUAGGAUGAUUAUGGUUCAUGCUUGUAAAUGAAAAACCUCACUUAUGAUUAUCAUGUAAACAAGCUUAUGUAAUGGAAAAGACUUAUUUAUGAUGAUUAGUUCAAACUGGUGAUUCAAA